CCUACGGGAGGCAGCAGUGGGGAAUAUUGCACAAUGGGGGAAACCCUGAUGCAGCGACGCCGCGUGGGUGAAGGAGUAUUUCGGUAUGUAAAGCCCCAUCUGUCGGGAAGCUAAUGACGGUACCUGACCAAGAAGCCGCGGAUAACUACGUGCCAGCACCCGUGGUAAUAUGUCGGGGGCCAGCGUAAUCCGGAUGUUCUGGGGGUAAAGGGAGCGUAGGCGGCAGCGCAAGUCUGGAGUGAAAGGAUGGGGGCCAACCCCAUGACUGCUCUGGAAACUGGGCGGCUAGAGUGCCGGAGGGGUAAGCGGAAUGCUUAGUGUAGCGGUGAAAUGCGUAGAUAUUAGGAAGAACACCAGUGGCGAAGGCAGCUUACUGGACGGUAACUGACGUUGAGGCUCGAAAGCGUGGGGAGCAAACAGGAUUAGAUACCCUUGUAGUC
rnacentral:rRNA from 1 species